AAACUUGAAAUAUUUAAUUUACUGGAUAAAAGAUAAUUUGCAAGACAGAGAUCAUGAUCUAUUAAACAUAAUUUGUCUUAUACUUUCAUUCAUAAAAUGGUACAAAACUAAACUGAAUUAGUGUGUCAGAAAAUUGCAAAGAAAUAAGUUGUAAUGAUUGUAUACAUUCCUUAAGAUCUAGAUAAGAACUUUAUCUCUGUACUGUAAGAUAUUUCUUUUUGUCACUAUAUUUUGUAAGGCGAUACAGCGCGAAUCCCGUCAAACAGGCGGAAGAGUACUAUAUUUACGAAGGCAUGAGAAAACAGCUUCGAUGACGUCACUGUUUAAAGGUCUGCCGUGUUCUUCUGGCGCUAUUCGGUGCCGUUUUAUUUCUGCUUGGUAGACCAACACCGACCAGGACCAACGUAGACGCAUCAGACACGCGAAACCGUCGAGAAAUAGAACGAAAUUACCUUUUGCGUUUUGAGGAAAACUCAAAACUCGGUAAUGGAUCUCGAAUGCAUUAUAGGAAAAGAAAGAAUGAAAUUUGGAUGAAAAAUGGAACAUAAAAUAGUCAGAUAGAAAUACAAAAAAUGGGUGAAAUGGAAGAGUAAAAUGAGCUAGUAAAAACCAUAUAAAUAUAACAGUGUACAAAUAUAACACAGCAUAUGUAGAUUCAAUCUAAUGCCACCUUCACAUAUUCAUGACGAUCGUUUCCAGGAUACCUCGUUGUUUAACGUCACCCAGAGAUUUUGACACCGUCUCACCAAGGACCUAAAUUUUGCGGAAUUUAGCAUCGCGUUCUUUUUUCUAUUAUCACCGAUCUCGUCGUCGAAUGAGAGAAAUCUUCGACUCGAGAAGAAGAUUAAUAAACACCGAAUUAGCAGCUUCCAGUUUUCGAAAGAUGAUCAAACAGCCGACAGAAUGGUAAAGACUCAGAAAAUCGAGGCGCAGAUCGUGGAUGCUAUACGGAGUCUACAGGCUGUUCAAGGAUCGACUCAACGAGAAAUCAGCAACUAUAUCGCUCAGGAAUAUAAUCUUCCGUUACCCAGUGUUAACAGACAAGUCCAACUCGCUUUGAAACGCGGUGUUAAUUAUGGAAUUCUUCAAAGACUGAAAGGCGGAUGUUUCACAUACAACCAACAACUAUUCAACGGACUUCCGUUCGACAUGAACCCGGAGCUGCCCUGCAAAGGGCGCAGGAAAGGGCGCAAAUCCCGAAGGCGUAAAUCACGGAAGCGACGAAAAUCGAAGAGGAGAAAUUACAGCAUUCGCGAUAUAAAACGAAGAAGCAAAAAAGCCGAUGAUAUUGUGAAAGAGAUCGAUACGUCGGAGUUGAAAACGCUGACCAAACAAACCAACAACAGAAGUAGCAGUCUUUUAAGAAAAGACACCCCUGAGAGCGAGGGUUCAUCCACCACCGGCAAGUCUGAGGAAGCGCACGAAUGAUCUACACUGUAUGCUGAUUCUGUAGACAAAGAUUGAACCGCGGAAAAGGAAACGGAUGCAACUGGUCAAGAAGAUCACAAAAAUUUUAGUGGAAUGUUUCUAUGUCUUUACUAAAUUUGUUUUGACUAUUAUACAUGUGUAUUGUAAAUGUUUUGGAGAAAUGUAGCAUUUUGUGAAUACAUCUUUUAAUACCAAAUUUAUGUACAUUCUUUGAGUAUGAAUUACUUGGAGGUAGACUAUGUGUCAGAUAUACAAUUUGAACAAUUAUACCAAAUAAUUAUUACUUGUUAAUUUACAUGGCUGUGUUAACUCGUCCAAUAGUAUAUUCUCAUCAUACUUUAUUACAUUAGUACAAUUUAUUUAUAAGUUCUUGUUUGCAAGUUCAUAUUCUACCUGCAUUUUAAUGUGUUCAUUUAUAAAUUGUAUUAUUCAUUCAUGACUUAUAUUUAUUUAUCAGUUAUUCAUGACGUAUAAAAUUGUACAUAUGUUAUUCAUAAAUUGUGUGUAUUCAUAAAUUGUACAGAACGUAAUUACAUAAGAGCACAUGUGCAGAGGAGAAUAAAAGGAUGUAAAGGGUUAAAGAAGCGCCAGGGUGCAUGUGUCGACGACGACGGCCUUGUUGGCUAAUGAUAGUCUCGCUAAUGAUGCCUCGGUAUACGCACACGUGUAGUCGUAACGCGUGACUAUUUCACCUAGGCUGCUCUAUGGAUAGACAGGCGUCGCUUAACCAACAGAAUAUUAGACAAUAAAGUAACAAAGUGUGACCAACCGGAAACAAAAUAGAUUCACGCAAACUAACGACUAGGAUCACGUGAUAUUGUAUUUGGACCAGAGAGGCUGUCAUUCAUCGCCACGGCAGCCGAUCUGACAAAUUGUACUCUUGGUAAUUAUUUUAUGCAGUGAUCAGUUAAAUGCGAGAGAGCCAAACUCUGGGUUAAAAUAUCACAUUGUACUUGCGAAUUGAAAUAACUGGAAUUUUAUUAAAAGGAGCACAGAGAAGUUUAAUGUGAAAUAUGUAUAAAAAGAGGAUAGUUAAAUAUUGCCAAGAUAACAAUGAAAAAAAUUUUACAAAUACAAAAAUUUCAAAGUUUAUAAAUAUCUUAUAGAAUUUAAAAAAUUUUUUAAAUUGAAAAAACAAGAAAAUCAUCCGCAACAGAAUAUUGAAGCUAACUGAUAGACUCACUAUACUGAUCCAUCUGUCGAAAACUUGGACAAACAUGCACAGAUUUGCAGAAUACGCGAGUCUAUCUCGCAGCUCAGAUAACACGAAACGUGUAUUGACUCAACAGACGUACAUCUUGUUAAGGUAAUACCAUUUCCUCAGCAUUUCUCAGUUGACCGGUAAAUAUACUUAUCCUAACGUUUGCAGUUGAUACGGUAGGAUCCGGCAAAUGGAAGAGGCAACAGGAAAGUCUACGUUUUAUAAAAUUCGUGAAAAGAAUAAGACUCGAGCGAGACACGAGACGGGACUGAAUGGUUCAAAAACUUCUAGAUCUCGUGGUUUUAUGCCGCGUAUGCAACAACCUUGACGUGGAAGCCGUAUUUUCAGGCAACACGACGUGCAGGCUUCGUGUCACCGCACACUUGUACGAUUCGUUCAAUUACAUUAACUUGACUGCCUAUUUAAACAGCGUGACAUGGAACGAGGAAAAAACUGUAAGCAACGAGAAAAGCGAGAAAGUAUGUUCUGAAUGUUAAUACUGACAAAGUCGAAUCGGUUACCAACCGCCAUAUAGAUUACUAGUGGUGAGUUGUGUGUGGCGAUAUAGCGCGAGGAAAUUGAAGGCGUGGAUAUGAUGCACAAAUAUAAAACGCAUGGCAAUAUAACAAGUAAAGAUAUUGAUUCGUGGAAAUAUUAAUACGUGGCGAUCUGAUAAAUGACAAUACCACUCAUGGCAAUAUAACGCGAGGCUAUGUAACGAAUGGCUAUAUAAUGCGUGGCGAUGUAACGAGAAAAGAUGGUGCGUGGAAAUAUUAAUACGUAGCGAUUUGAUAAAUGACAAUACCACUCAUGGCAAUAUAACGCGAGGCUAUGUAACGAAUGGCUAUAUAAUACAUGACGAUGUAACGAGUAAAGACGUUGAGUGGAAAUAUUAAUACGUGGCGAUUUGAUAAAUGACAAUACUACGCAUGGCAAUAUAAUGUGAGGCUAUGUAACAAAUGGCUAUAUAAUGCAUGACGAUGUAACGAGUAAAGACGUUGAGUGGAAAUAUUAAUACGUGGCGAUUUGAUAAAUGACAAUACUACGCAUGGCAAUAUAACGCGAGGCAAUGUAACGAAUGGCUACAUAAUGCGUGGCGAUGUAACAAGUGAA